rnacentral:rRNA from 1 species
UACGGGUGGCUGCAGCAAGGAAUUUUCCGCAAUGGGCGCAAGCCUGACGGAGCAACGCCGCGUGGGGAUGACGCCUUUCGGGGUGUAAACCCCUUUUCGUGGGGGAGGACUCAUCGACAGUACCCCAGGAAGAAGGCCCGGCUAACUACGUGCCAGCAGCCGCGGUAAUACGUAGGGGCCGAGCGUUGUCCGGAAUUACUGGGCGUAAAGCGCGCGCAGGCGGCGCUCCAGGCCCGACGUGAAAGCCCCCGGCUCAACCGGGGAGGGUCGUCGGGGACUGGGGCGCUUGAGGGCGGUAGGGGCCGGUGGAAUUCCCGGUGUAGUGGUGAAAUGCGUAGAGAUCGGGAGGAACACCAGUAGCGAAGGCGGCCGGCUGGGCCGACCCUGACGCUGAGGCGCGAAGGCGUGGGGAGCGAACGGGAUUAGAUACCCCGGUAGUCCACGCAGUAAACGAUGCAGACUAGGCGUGGGGGGACUUGACCCCCUCCGUGCCGCAGCUAACGCGACAAGUCUGCCGCCUGGGGAGUACGGCCGCAAGGCUA